rnacentral:rRNA from 1 species
UAUCAAUAAGCGGAGGAAAAGAAACCAACAGGGAUUGCCCUAGUAACGGCGAGUGAAGCGGCAAUAGCUCAAAUUUGAAAUCUGGCCUUUUGGUCCGAAUUGUAAUUUGGAGAAAGUGCUUCGGAAGAGAUUAUGGUCCAAGUCCCUUGGAACAGGGCGUCGCAGAGGGUGAGAAUCCCGUAUGUGACUAAUGAUCGAUUCCAUGUGAAGCCUUUUCGACGAGUCGAGUUGUUUGGGAAUGCAGCUCUAACUGGGUGGUAAAUUCCAUCUAAAGCUAAAUACCUGCCAGAGACCGAUAGCGCACAAGUAGAGUGAUCGAAAGAUGAAAAGAACUUUGAAAAGAGAGUCAAACAGUACGUGAAAUUGUUGAAAGGGAAGCGUUAGCAAUCAGACUCGUUUGCAGAAGCUCAGCUUUUCUUCGGAACAGUGUAUUCUUCUGUCAAUGGGCCAACAUCAGUUUUGACGGCAGGAUAAGGCGUCUUGGGAAUGUAGCUCUCUUCGGAGAGUGUUAUAGCCCGGAUUCUGAUACAGCCAGUUGAGACUGAGGUCCGCGCUUUGCUAGGAUGUUGGCGUAAUGAUUGUUAGCGACCCGUCUUGAAACACGGACCAGUAUGUAUUCUUGAAUCUUCAUAUAAUCGAUUGAUGCUAACGACUUUGCAGAGGAGUCGACCAAUGACGCGAGUGUUUGGGUGUAAAACCCAUGCGCGUAAUGAAAGUGAACGUAGGUGCGACCUUCGGGGCAGCAUCGACCGAUCUUGAUGUCUUCGGAUGGAUUUGAGUAUUAGCAUUUUUGGUCGGACCCGAAAGGCAAGUUACUUGAAUCAUUCUUGCGGAAUUAAACUAACAUCUUAUACAGAUGGUGAACUAUGCGCGACUAGGGUGAAGCCAGAGGAAACUCUGGUGGAGGCUCGCAGCGGUUCUGACGUGCAAAUCGAUCGUCAAAGUUACGCAUAGGGGCGAAAGACUAAUCGAACUAUCUAGUAGCUGGUAAAUUUUGAUUCUAAAUCGACUGUGAAACUCUUAACUAACAAGUUUUUAGGUUCCUGUCGAAGUU